GUACAAAAAGAAAAUUACGGGCGCAGAGUGAAUGCCUUGGUACAAUAUGCCGAUGAAGGACGUGUAGGGCUGCGAAAAGCUCGGAUGAGCUGCCGAAAAGCGAUAUUAAUCCGAGAUGUCCGAAUGGGGUAACCCCUCUCUACGGAGAGACCUAACCGCAAGGUUGGGAGGGAACGCGCUGAAGUGAAACAUCUCAGUAAGCGCAGGAAAAGAAAUCAACCUUCCGUAAGGAAGCGGUCUUUACUUAGUAAAGAUUGGAGAUUCCGUAAGUAGCGGCGAGCGAAAGCGGAAAUAGUCUAAACUGGUCUGGUGUAAGAUUGAACGUGCGGUAAUCUCGCGUUGCGAGAGAAUCGUUCCGUUCAGUCGCAGGUCUUGGCUCGUGCCAGACACAGUGUUGUGGUUGUGUCAUUGUUUUCCCAAGAGGAGACAGACUGAUCAGUUGAGCAAGAAGAAGCGUAUGGAAAGGCGCACAAUAUAGGGUGAAAGUCCCGUAUUCGAACGCUUGACUAGGAAAUUCGAUACAUACCAAAGUAUCACGGGGUCCGAGAAGCCCUGUGUGAAGCCGGGAGGCCCAUUUCCCAAGACUAAAUACGUAUUGUAACCGAUAGUGAAGAGUAGCGUGAGCGAAAGGUGAAAAGUACCCCAGGUAGGGGGAUGAAAAGUUUCUGAAACUCUGUGCCUACAAGCAGUCGGAGCCAUUAAUAUGGUGACGGCGUGCCUAUUGAAGAAUGAGCCUAGGAAUUAAUGUUGCUAGCAAGGUUAACCGAUUGAAGUCGGGGAGCCGAAGGGAAACCGAAUCUGAAAGGGUGUUAAGUUAGCAGUAUUAGACCCGAAACCGGGCGAUCUAUCCAUGAGCAGGCUGAACUCUAGGUAAAACUAGAGGAAGGGCCGAACUCGUUAGCGUUGAAAAGCUAUGAGAGGACUUGUGGAUAAGUGGUAAUAAGCCAAUCGAGCUCGGUGAUAGCUGGUUCUCCUCGAGAUUGCUGUCCGGCAAGCGUCAGGUAUGUACGUGUGGGGGUAGAGUACUUUUUGGGUGCAGGGAGCAAUCUUUGUAUCCAGAAAAACUCCAAAUACCACACCUUUCACCCUGGCAGUGAGUCCACGGAGGUAAGCCCCGUUGGGCGAGUUGGGGAACAUCCCAGACCUACAUCUAAGGUCCCUAAAUUUGAACUAAGUGCAAGAGAAGGACGUGAAAUUUCUCAAACAGCCAGGAGGUUAGCUUAGAAGCAGCUAUCCUUUAAAGAGUGCGUAACAGCUCACUGGUCGAGAGAUUCUGCGCCAACAAUGAUCGGGGCUAAGUUCAGUACCGAAGGUUAGGGUGCGAUGUGAAUUUAUUCACACCGCGCGGUAGAGGAGCGUACUGUCUAUGGCGACUACGAAAGUAAGUCGUAAUUAAGCGUUGAAGCCUUGUCGAAAGGCAUGGUGGAGCAGACAGUAGUGAGGAUCUAGGCAUGAGUAGCGAAAGACAGGUGAAAACCCUGUCCCUCGGAAGUCUAAGGUUUCCAACACUACGGCAGUCGAUGUUGGGUUAGGCGGAACUAAGGAAACUCUCAUAUAAUGUGAGAAUUACCGAUGUACAACAGGUUAAUAUUCCUGUUCUGUAUGUAUUUAGCGAAGGAGUGACGCAGUUGGAGUACUCUAAGCCCCCAUAGGUGGGGGUGCAAGCAACAAGUCAGGUUUGAUAGGAAAAUCCGUCAGACCGCUUACACGAGUUGUGACGCCAAGCUUUGUUUUAGGACAGAGUAAGUCGGAGGAUUCAGAGGCCAGGAAAAACUUCUCAGCGUUGUAAAAUACAUGCACCCGUACCGCAAACUGACACAGGCAGACUGGUAUAAAUGUACCAAGAGGUACGGUCCACUCCAGAUUAAGGAAUUCGGCAAAUUGACCUCGUAACUUCGGGAUAAGAGGGGCCUAGCACGGACGUAGUAAUACGUCUACUGAUCUAGGCUGCAAAGAAUAGGUUCGGGCGACUGUUUACCUAAAACACAAGUGCCUGCAAACUCGCAAGAGGAAGUAUAGGUGCUGACACCUGCCCAAUGCCAGUAGGUUAAAGAAGGGGGUGAUCCCGCAAGGGUGAGCCUCUGACAUAAGCCCUGGUGAAUGGCGGCUGUAACUCUGACGGUCCUAAGGUAGCGUAACCCCUUGUCACAUAAUUAGUGACCUGCAUGAAAGGUGUAACGACUUGAACUCUGUCUUAAUCUGGAAACCGGCGAAAUUGAAGUGGCUGUGAAGAUGCGGCCUAAACACACAUGGACAAAAAGACCCCGGAAGGUUUACUUUAACUUUGCAUUGACGCAUGGUUCUGGGCACAGAGAAUAGGUGGGAGACGUUGAACUCUUGGUUUUGGCUGAGGGGGAGUCGACAGUGUAAUACCACUUACUUGGUGCCGUGCUUCUAACUGGAUUCUAAGGAUCGACAAUUUAUUGUAGAGCUCUUAUCAGGACAGUGCAUGGCGGGAAGUUUGACUGGGGCGGUUACCUGCUAAAAAGUAACGCAGGUGCACAAAGGUUUGCUCAGGAGGUAUGGAAAUCCUCUGUAGAGUGCAUGAGCAGAAGCAAGCUUUACUGCAAGAUCGGCGGAUCGAGCAGUCGCGAAAGCGGGUUCAAGUGAUCCUCUGGUUGAUUAUGGUAUCGCCAGAGCUUAUGGGAUAAUACUUACUCCGGGGAUAACAGGCUAGUCUGGUCCGAGCGUCCACAGCGACGACCAGGUUCGGCACCUCGAUGUCGGCUCGUCGCGUCCUGGGACUGAAGAAGGCCCCAAGGGUGGGGGAGUUCACCCCUUAAAGCGGCACGUGAGCUGGGUUCAGACCGUCGUGAGACAGGUCGGUCUCUAUCCUGUGUGUUCGUCCAAAGAAUGAGAAGGUUUGCCCCCAGUACGCAAGGAUCGGGGUGAGGAAACCUCUGGUGUACCUGCUGUUCCACCCGGAGCAUCGCAGGGUAGCUACGUUUCCAACGGAGAAGCACUGAAAGCAUCUAAGUGCGAAACCGACUUCAAGAUUAUUCUUUGUUGUUUCUUUUCUGCAAAGCAAUUUGCAGAGAGGUCUCGAAAGUCCCCUGGGAGAUGACCAGGUUGAUAGGCGCUCGGUGUAAGCAUAGCAAUGUGUUGAGCCAAGGCGUACUAAUUGGACGAAAUCUUUUU
rnacentral:rRNA from 2 species